CUUUGAUAAGGGAGGCCACUCAGUUACUUAAAGAACCUGUGGAGGUCGUUUCUGGAUCACUACGUACUUACACGAAGAGAUUACAGCUUAUGAUGAAGAAAAUAAAGGAUGUGGAUCUAGAAGCCCUCUUGCCAUCUCUAGACUGCUCUCCAGAAACCCUGAGCAAACUUCAGCAAGCCAUUCCUGAAGUCCUGCAGACACUCUGUGAGGCUGAGCAGGUGUGUGAUGAGCUGCGUGUGAGUGUUAGUGGGUUGGACGGACGUCUAGCUGAACUGUUACACUGGGAGAUGGAAGCCAGAGAUCUCUAUCAGCUACUAAAGGAGGAAGCGCACAGGCAGAAGAGAGGACAAGAUCCCAGAGCACGGCUGUUGAUAUCAAGGGGUUUACAGUUAGAGGGUCAGGUGGUUAUGGAGGAACAGGAUCUGCAGGUGAUGGUCAUGACUAAUCAAAAGACUUCACCACUGCAGUAUCUCAUUGCAUCCACCAUGCAGGACAGAGUCCGCACUGCUGUUGAAAAGUCACAGGAAGCCAUAGGGAUGCUUAGCUCUUUGGGGGCUUGCAGAGACCGAAGCCCUGUUAGAGACCAGCCCCCUUCCAAGAUCUUUGUCCAAUAUCAGGAGACAGAGGAAGAGUCCCAAAAACCCUCCUUCCAGCCUGUCUCUCGAUCAGCAGCCCCUGGCCAACCAGAACCUCAGCCUGCAGUCAGGGCCAAAGUUCCAGAACAAUCUCAAAUACUCUCAGAUGUAUCUUCUAAAGCAGCAGACCUCAAGGCCCAGCAAUGUAGUCAGCCUGUGCCAAUGAUUGUUGUGCAAGAGUAUGAAGAGGAGAAAAGUAGUCCACAACCACAAAUGCAUCCCUCUGUGCAAGUGAAAGACUCUCAGUCCAUUGAAGUUAAUUCAGAGAAAGUUGUCCAUGCUCAAACAAAAAUCGACAUAGAGCAUCAUGUAGAAAGCCAGGAAUCUUUACCACAGUCUGUGACACAACAACAGACAGAAAAAGGUCCAGUAGCUGGCCAACCCUCACAGAACCUACAACAAGCAGAGUCACAAGUACAUAAUAAACAACAAUUAGCAACACAGCCACAUGUGCACAUUCAUCAACAAGAGAAAACUCAGCUUGCAAAACAGCAGAAGGUUCAACCACAAGUAUCAAUCCAGUCACAGCCUCAGGGUCAACUAGAAACACAAACACAGCAAGCUCCAAAGCAGCAGAGGAAAGUAAAGAAGUCCCAGGCACAUCUGCAGAACAGACCUUGGCUUCAACAGAGGAGUCAACCGGAAAAUGUUACUCAAAACUCAAUGCCACAGUUGGUCCCACAAUCUCAGUCAGAGCCUGAGAACAAAUGUCAAAUAAGUUCUCAAGCACCACCACAGCAUAUAGUAGCUGUUAGCUCACCUGAGGCUAAGGGACCUGCUCAAGGCACAGCACAGUCAAAAAGCAUUGUUAAGAGUGAUGAGAAACACCUGAAGCCAGCUCAGUCUGUUGCACAAGAGAAACCUCUUGUAGAAACACAAAACCCACCUCAAACUGUGCCAGCAGUUUCAGCACAACCAGUGACUCAAAAACAACCACAACAGCCAGUGACUGUUCCAAUUCAUCAACAAGUAUUUCCCCAACCUCAGCCCUCUUUAUCAACUCAAGCUCAAACAACUACACAACAAACACAAGCUACUGCACCCAUUAAGCAACAAAAGCAACCUCAAACACAGAUAGUGACACCACAGCAACCUCAAGUGAUGAUCCAGAAACAGGCACAAUCACAAUCCAUGACUCCCAUGCAACCACAGGUUAUGGCCCAAUGGCAGCCACAACAGACUAUUUCUCAGCCUCAUCCUGCAGUGCCACAACCACAAAGAUUUCCAGUGGCCCAAACAAUGCCCCAAAGGCCAGUCCAACAGUACCCAACAUCUCCCAUUCAACCACAAAUAACAAUGCAGAGACAACUGUCUCAGUCCCAGCAACCCACAAUGCGCAAUCCGACUGUAAUUACCCCUCAACCCAAAGGUGCAUCCCCCAUACAACCCAGAAUCAUCUCUAUGCCUCGACUCCAGAUGCCUGUUCAAUCUCAAACCCAAACUCAGGUCAAAGCCCAGGGAAGUGCACCACAUGUGAUUCAACCUCAGGGGCAACCCCAGUGGAGUCAACCAGGAGAUGUCACCCAAACGUACCCCAGAGUGCAAGGACCAGUUUCUGUUGCUGCCCAAAUGCAAUCACUGGCCCAUUUCCAAACUCAUUUCCAACCUCAAAGUAUCCCUCCAACUCAAUCUCAGCAGUGGUCACCAAUAAGACCAGGCAUAGUGAGCCAGACAUACCCCACUGUCCAAGUUCCAGGUCAGGUAGUUCAACCUCAACCUCAAAUGGCAGUUUACCCUAAAAUCCAGCUGCAGUCACAGCUUCAGCAGUUGCCCUCUGCUAGACCUGAAUCACCUUGGGGUCAAUCACAGAUAAGACCUCGAGGUCCAGCUCAGCAUAUAGUGCCCUCUCAGCAAUGGAGGCCUGUCAGUCCAGAGAGAGUCAGUCCAGUAUACCCAAGGGCUGAAACCCAAGGGCCCAAGGGACCACAUCCUCAGUCCCAAUAUCAAGCCCUACCAAGGCCAGCAAGCCCUCAACGUCAGUGGAGUCCAGUCCGGCCAGAACAUCAGUUUCAAGUUUCUUCCCAGACUAUGUUCCAUGGUGCUCCCCAGCCAGUAGCUCCAUGGAAUCAACCACCUCCUCAAGCUCUCAUAAGACCUCAGAAUCCACAACAGCCUCAGCAAAGUCAGCAAAAGCGGAGUUCAUCCAGGACAGAGGCCCCAUCUGCAACCCUCAUCCAAAGCCAAGUUGGCCAGGCAGAGCUUCAGUCCCAAGAUCUGACAAAGCUGCAUUUACCAGUACAGGAACCACCCCAACAGCAGUCAGCUCCUCGGGUUAAGCAGCCAGCACUUGCCCAGGCUCCCCCUCAAGCCUACACUGAGGCUUAUAUAAAGGCACAGGCCCUGGUUAGGGAUAGAUUUGAGGAAGCCAAGCAUUGUCUUCAAGAGCACAUUAUAGAAGCCAUCAAUGUAUUCAAGGACAAGAGAAUGAUGGACGAACAGGCAUCAGUUAAGGAGGAGACGCUUCGGACUCUUGACCCUGAACUUGUUGAAGAGUUCUUGAGGGCUGCGGAAGGGAUGGAAGCUUUCUGCACCCCAUCUGAACUUAGAGACAUGGAGUUUUUCACACAAUCUGUUAGAACACAGUGGAAGGCUUGUUUGUCUGCAGAAGGCAGUCUGGCAGAGGCAGGACAGCAGCUAGAAGCUCUGAAGGAGUUGUGUGAUACUCUUAGCCCUGAGGACGCACACAGGCUCGCACAAGCCCAACUUAGAGAAUGUGAGAGACGGCUUGCUGCCAUCCAGCGGCAGUUCAGUGGAGACACAGAUACACCUCCUUCAGACACUAGUUUACAAACAGAGCAAACAAAAGAGCCACCCAAUCAAAAACCACCAACAGUCCCACCACCACCUGAGAAGCUCAAAGAGGUUAUUGUUUCAGAGGUACAAAUAUAUG
ensembl:lncRNA